UUUGUGUUAGACUAAUAUUAUCCUGUGUUGUUCUGUAUGUUAUAUUCUCUUUUCAUACAUUAAGGAACUAUAUUAUAUUUACCGAAGUAUACUAAAUCAUUUUAGUUUUAUACGGACAACACUACCUCUACUGUGAGGACAACACUAAAAAGAGAUUUUGACAGUUUAGAGCGCGCGCUUCCCAUGCGCUUCCUUCGUGGACUGAUAAACUAUGUUUUCUUACGAUUGAUAUUAAAUUGUGUUUUAAAAGUGAAUACAAGAAGUUAUUGUGAUACGAAUUGACGUUUUAUUUCUGAUUAAGGCUAGGAGAUCAUACCCUAGCUUAUAUCAGAAGCGGGAAGAACAGAAAACCAAAUCUAAUUACCAAUGGGGCGCGAAUGCUCCGAAUACAAUAAAAUUAAUGAUCACGCCACACUAUGCGAAACACUUAAACGAAGACGAGAUGACCACAGCACUGAUUGCUCAACCGCAAUAAUGUAUCAAGGACUUAUCUACUCAAGGAAAACAAAGCGACAUGGUCAACAACUUGUGGAGCCUAAUGACGACGACCAGACAAGAUUCUUGUGUGUAGAUUACUGCUUGACACACACUACGCCUGAUGGCGAUUAGACACCUUCUCCGCCGCGAUGCAACAGGUACCCGAGACAUUGGACAAUCAGGUAUAAGCAUUAAUAUUUUUUUUCUCAUUCCAAUUAAUCCAUGGAAUAGAAAACAAUCAUUUAAUUGCCCAAACAUGUGUAUAUAUGCAUACACACGCAGGUGCAUGCAUGUAGGAUAAUACAAUUAUUAAAGGUAUGUGCUUAAAACAUGUUUGCCACUUGUCAUGGCAUACAAAUAUAAAACCAGAAACAUUUAGUUCUAUAUACUAAAAACUAUUUGAGCUGACAUUUCAGAGCUUCGGUACUGAGUUUUCUCUAGGUUAUAGAUAUUUUGUUGUACAUAAUGGGUGCCAUUCAAAAUAUAAUUUAGCACAUAAGUGCAGUUUUACAUGGAUGUGAACAGAGUUUGCUAUUGAUCCAUUUGAUGCAUACAUUUUUAAGGUGAGUAAAUGUACAACAAUAUAUUUCAUUAGACAUCCAGCUGGGAACAUGACAGAUACUCUGAGGUAAACAUUUAUAUCCUGAGUAAUUAUGUAUGGUGUUAUUUUUGCUACACAUUGAAUACAUAAAAUAUUCAUGAGAAAAGAGUAAAUAAAGCAAGUAAAGCUAAUUGCAUAGUUCAUGGGGAUGAUGGCCAAACGAUUUGGUGUUAAUGCAUUAUUUACAUACAUUACUGAAAUAGACAAAGGAAGUACCUAUAAAAAUAAGUAAAUAGGAUAUAACAAUAGGAUAUUCAUGAUAUAAAGCCAAUAUUACAAUAAUUAAAAUUGAAAUAAUCAUAAUCACUUACAAAUAGAGGUAGAAAAUAAAGUGGUUAAUUGACAACCAACAAAAACCGUGCGACACAGCUCUUGACUAUUCUAUGUACAUCCAAAGCGGUGAUAACAGGUAUUAAUAAUGGAUAAUCAAAUACUUUAAAGUACUAUAAACACUAAACUGGUUUUUAUUAAUAAAGUAACUAUGAAACUAAAUGCUUCAAGCCAGUAUGUUUCAGACAGUAAGUAUGUUUUACCAAUAUCUUGGUACUGCCAAUAGCAUACAUCAUUGUUAAGUAAAACUUCAUUCCAAGCAAAUAUCAUUACUUGUUAUUAUUUUAAAGAGUAUCUAAAGUGAAAAUUAUAAAAAUGGUAAUCUUUUUAAAUGAUCUUUUCCAUAUUAUUAACUGUAAAUUGCCUCACCUAGAAAAAGUUAAACUGCUUAUUCUAUCUGAAUGUUGGAUGAUAUUACAGCUAACAGGUACAUUAUAGGACUGUAACACAUUAAGGAUAGUUUAAUCACAGUAAAGAUGCAGCAAUUGUAGUAGAUAUUAUUUACUUAAAGGAUUUUACAGACUGAAGCAUAAUAAAUAAAUAUAAAUCAGUAGUGUCAAUUAAUCAGAAGAAAAUAUAACUCAGUAGUGUCAGUAAUCUGAGUAGCCAGAUCAGAUAUGUUCUUUUUGAAAGAUUUCAUUUUAAUUUGGAAUCCACCACUUGAUGCUGAGACCAGUUUUCUCAACCAUUAAAGAUAACCCGAAGUGCUUAAAGAUAUGUAUACUAGAAUCAAAUAAAUACAAAAUAAAGAAAUUUCGGCUUUGAAAUCUGAAUCGAAAGCAGUCUAUAUAUUAUUAACUUAAUAAAUGAAUAUGGCAAUUGGGUCAAUAAGAGAUAGGUUUGAGUUGGAACAAAACAACAUUAGUUAUACAUAAAAUUGUCUGAUACUACACAGGAGCUAUACCAUCAGAAUACAUUAUACCAUACUGAAAAAGAAGUAUGUGAGACAGUUAAAGAAUAAAAGACUAGGCAAUUAAUAAGUAAUUUGUCCUAGCCCAUUAAAAAGUUGAAUGCAUACCAGGGCACUCAGUAAAACAUAUAGAUUAUUAUAAAUAAACUGAACCUGAACUUUUAUGGAUGGUAACGAUACGAGUUAACAUUUCUCUCUAUACUCUCUUUAUGACAGGAAAUCUUGUAAUUUCCUGGGAGGUAAGACAUUUAUUCUGAGACUAAAUUUCAGCACAUAUUGUAUGUUAGACCUUCUCUCACAGAAAAUUACAUGUACAGUUUAUGAUGAUUUUCUUGAUUGAUGUUGUGAGUCUAUUCUGACCACUUAUAAAAUAGGAACCAAGAUUGUGGAGGAUCAGAGGAGUGAAUUCAGUGGGGUGUCAACAACAUCUUUAACAAGUCAGUAAGUACAACCACAAGUGUUUUACAGUCAACAACUAAGAAAGAGCAUUGCUUAGUAUUUAUUAGUUUUGAACCAUUAAUUGAAAAAAAAAACUGACUGAUAAAGAACAAUUUAUAUGGUGAUUGGAACUUAUAUUUAAAGAUGAUGACAUCUGGUUAUGUUUAUAUUCAUAUAUAUUUAUUUGCAUUCCAUAAUGUUACAAUAGAUGUUGAAGAGGCUUAAAACUAAGUAGGUACCAUUAUAGGCCCUGUUAGGGCACAGCUAAAGAAGGCAAUACUUUAAGGCACCAUAAAUAAAGAACCAUGAGUUAAACUAGGCUCAGGGGUACUUUGUUGUCACUUUGUUUGUAUUAAAAUUGUUUCUACGGCACCACCUUCAAUUCUGCUUUCGUAUCCCUCAUCAGGGAUAUAGUUCCGAAGGAGCAGAAAGCUUUUCCACUCACGCUUUACAACUUGUAGAGUUAUAAUUUGAUUAAAUGGUAUUAACUAAAAAGAAAAGCUUAAAUUGAGAAGUGUAGUGAUUUUAAUGAAUUGCUAAUUAAUAAAACAAUACCAGACGAAGAAAAUUGAAUGAAUAAAUUAAAGAUUUCUACAAUUUUUAGCUUGAUUAUCUGUUAUUAAUUCUUACGAGCCUCUGUAUUGAGAUGUGAAAUGAAUUGAAAGAUUCAUACUAAUUCAGUUUGGUUGUAUUGUUGAAUUAUUGAAAUAAGACUACAUAAAUAAACUUUUGAUAAGUUCAUAGGUUGGAAGGUAUGCACUAUGUACUGUUUUAGCUGGUUCUAUUGUUUGUUGCUGAAAACAAACGACUCGAGGAAGAAAAUGGAUAUUAUGUAUUUAUAUAUUUUAACCACUACAAUAAGGGAUUAACAGAAACAAUUGUAAUGUUGUAACAAUUGUAACUUGUAGUGGUCUGAUUGAGUUUGAUUGUGUUGUUAAAUAAUAAUAAUAGAAGACAUGUAUUGAUUUAGUUCAACCAUAGGCAUUGCUCUAAUACAAAUAAGAGAUGGACAGAGAAAAAUGUAAUUACUUGUACAUUUCUCAUUUUAUUAUGUUGUUAAUUAUUAAAAACUAGCGACUGGAAUGCUAAUAAAGAAUUGAGUAUUGAAUAGACAAGAUAUAUUGUACUAGUUGUGAGAUAACGAAUAUAAAUAAGAGAUGGGCAGGGAAACUGACUAAAGAAUUUGUAUUAGCUACUUUGAUCAUAUUGAUGAUUAAUGGAUACUAAACGAGAUAAAAUAUGUAUACAUGUAUAUUGUAGUCAGAGAUAGAAGAUGUAAUAAAUUGAGAGAUUUGUAUAUUGUCCAGUUUGAGGAUAUUGACAAUUACGAGUCAUUUAUGAUUCUGAAUUUAAUACACGGAAGGAAUUGUGUAAGGACGGUUUUGUGUAAGGAGCCGCUUGUGAUAAUAUUAUUAAUCAAUAUUUAUAGAGAUCUUCAUUGACACAUACCUACUUAAAAAGCUGUGUAUAUUUCUCAUAGCUCUCAAUUCUUCGAAACUAAGUCCUUAAAAAAUAAAUUGUAUAUAUUGUGCCAAUAAAGUGUAAUUGUGAAGUAUAUAAAAUAAGACAGGAUAUUAAGCAAUUGUAUAUUGUAUUGAAGAUCAAUACAAGUGUAGUGACGCAGUUUAUGAAUCUAAGGCUGGAUAUUAAGAAAUUGUAUAUUGUAUUGUUAAUGUACAGUAGUCCAGGUACUGGAUAGAAAGAAGUUGUUUACUGUAAUGAGAAUUAUAUAAGCAGAAGCAAUGUGUAAAUACUGAUUUGCACUUUGAAUUAUGAUAGUGAUAAAUUUUAAUGUGUUAAUAAGGAACAUAAGUUCAGAGACUUUGUAUAAUAGAAGUUUUCUAUUGAAAUGAGAAAUGAUAUAAGUAUUUUGAUGCCAAUAUGGUGAUGUUGACUUGUACUGCUUGAAUUUGAAUGAGGUACACAAGUCCAGAGACUGGAUACAUAGGAUUCUUUAUUUAAUGAUUGAUGAUAUAAGUAUGUUGUCGUCGAUAUGUUCAUAUUGACUUGUAAUAUUGAAAUUUGAAUGUAUUGAUAAAGUAUGUGUAAGAUAAGAACCGAGACUGGAUAUAAGGAAUUGUUUAUUUGAUGGGGAACUAUAUAAAUGAAUUCAUGUCAAUAUGUUGAUUUUGACUUGUAUUGCUUGAAUUUGAAUGUAUUGGUAAGGUACCUACACAAGUCCAGAGACUGGAUAUAGAGAAUUGUUUAUUUAAUGGGGAAUGAUAAAAGUAUAUUGAUGUCAAAAUGUUGAUGUUGACUUGUAAUCGUUGAAUUUGAAUGUAUUUAUAAAGAAAUAAAUCCAGAGACUGGAUAUAAAACAUGUCGAUUAUUGAAAUAGGAAAUGACAUAAGUAUAUAGAUGCCAAUAUGUUGAUGUUGACUUGAAAUGGUUGAAUUUGAAUGUAUUUAUAAAGAAUAUAGAUCCAGAGACUGGAUAUAAAUAAAGUUGAUUAUUGAAAUAGGAUAUGAUAUAAGUAUAUAGAUGCCAAUAUGUUGAUGUUUACUUGUAAUGGUUGAAUUUGAAUGUAUUUAUAAAGAAAUAAAUCCAAAGACUGGAUAUAAAACAAGUCGAUUAUUGAAAUAGGAAAUUAUAUAAGUAUAUAGAUAUCAAUAUGUUGAUGUUGGCUUGAAAUGGUUGAAUUGGAAUGUAUUUAUAAAGAAUAUAAAUCCAGAGACUGGAUAUAAAACAAGUCGAUUAUUUAAAUAGGAAAAUAUAUAAGUAUAUAGAUGCCAAUAUGUUGAUGUUGACUUGAAAUGGUUGAAUUUGAAUGUAUUUAUAAAGAAUAUAGAUCCAGAGACUGGAUAUAAAUAAAGUUGAUUAUUGAAAUAGGAAAUUAUAUAAGUAUAUAGAUAUCAAUAUGUUGAUGUUGGCUUGAAAUGGUUGAAUUGGAAUGUAUUUAUAAAGAAUAUAAAUCCAGAGACUGGAUAUAAAACAAGUCGAUUACUUAAAUAGGAAAAUAUAUAAGUAUAUAGAUGCCAUUAUGUUGAUGUUGACUUGAAAUGGUUGAAUUUGAAUGUAUUUAUAAAGAAUAUAGAUCCAGAGACUGGAUAUAAAUAAAGUUGAUUAUUGAAAUAGGAUAUGAUAUAAGUAUAUAGAUGCCAAUAUGUUGAUGUUUACUUGUAAUGGUUGAAUUUGAAUGUAUUUAUAAAGAAAUAAAUCCAAAGACUGGAUAUAAAACAAGUCGAUUAUUGAAAUAGGAAAUUAUAUAAGUAUAUAGAUAUCAAUAUGUUGAUGUUGGCUUGAAAUGGUUGAAUUGGAAUGUAUUUAUAAAGAAUAUAAAUCCAGAGACUGGAUAUAAAACAAGUCGAUUAUUUAAAUAGGAAAAUAUAUAAGUAUAUAGAUGCCAAUAUGUUGAUGUUGACUUGUCAUGGUUAAAUUUGAAUGUAUUGAUAAGGUACAUAAGUCGAGAGACUUGAUAGAAGGAUCUUGAUGUCAAUUUGUUAACAUGACUAGAAGGCGUAGAUAGCUCCAAAUAGGAGUGAAUUCCUCGUUGCAGUCACAGUGAUAGUAAGAUUAACUUACUCUGUUGAACUUGAAUGUUUUGAUAAAGUAUACAAGUCCAAAUACUAGACGUGAAGUUGUUUACCGUAGUAAGAAUUUGUACAAGUAUAUGGUUGCCAAUUUGUUAAAAUGGCAAUGUACACAAGUCACAGUUUGGAUUCAAAAUGAAAUGAAAUGAAAAUAUUCGCAGAAAUUGUUUAUCGUAGUGAGAGUUUAUGCAAUUAUAUUGUUGACGAUUUGUUAGCAUGGCUGGAAGGCGUGGAUGGCUCCAGUUGGAGUGAAGGCCACGAUGCAGUCCUAGUUAAAGAUACGACUCUGGAAGGUUGGCACGAUCGUGAAGCCUUGUUGGUGGACAUCCUCUUGGCUUUGCGGUGAGGGGUCAAAUGCAGAUGUCGUGAGUUGAGAUUGGCUGGAAGGCGUGGAUGGCUCCAGUUGGAGUGAAGGCCACGAUGCAGUCCGUCCUAGUUAAAGAUACGACUCUGGAAGGUUGGCACGAUCGUGAAGCCUUGUUGGUGGACAUCCUCUUGGCUUUGCGGUGAGGGGUCAAAUGCAGAUGUCGUGAGUUGAGAUUGGCUGGAAGGCGUGGAUGGCUCCAGUUGGAGUGAAGGCCACGAUGCAGUCCGUCCUAGUUAAAGAUACGACUCUGGAAGGUUGGCACGAUCGUGAAGCCUUGUUGGUGGACAUCCUCUUGGCUUUGCGGUGAGGGGUCAAAUGCAGAUGUCGUGAGUUGAGAUUGGCUGGAAGGCGUGGAUGGCUCCAGUUGGAGUGAAGGCCACGAUGCAGUCCUAGUUAAAGAUACGACUCUGGAAGGUUGGCACGAUCGUGAAGCCUUGUUGGUGGACAUCCUCUUGGCUUUGCGGUGAGGGGUCAAAUGCAGAUGUCGUGAGUUGAGAUUGGCUGGAAGGCGUGGAUGGCUCCAGUUGGAGUGAAGGCCACGAUGCAGUCCGUCCUAGUUAAAGAUACGACUCUGGAAGGUUGGCACGAUCGUGAAGCCUUGUUGGUGGACAUCCUCUUGGCUUUGCGGUGAGGGGUCAAAUGCAGAUGUCGUGAGUUGAGAUUGGCUGGAAGGCGUGGAUGGCUCCAGUUGGAGUGAAGGCCACGAUGCAGUCCGUCCUAGUUAAAGAUACGACUCUGGAAGGUUGGCACGAUCGUGAAGCCUUGUUGGUGGACAUCCUCUUGGCUUUGCGGUGAGGGGUCAAAUGCAGAUGUCGUGAGUUGAGAUUGGCUGGAAGGCGUGGAUGGCUCCAGUUGGAGUGAAGGCCACGAUGCAGUCCGUCCUAGUUAAAGAUACGACUCUGGAAGGUUGGCACGAUCGUGAAGCCUUGUUGGUGGACAUCCUCUUGGCUUUGCGGUGAGGGGUCAAAUGCAGAUGUCGUGAGUUUAGAUUGGCUGGAAGGCGUGGAUGGCUCCAGUAAGAGUGAAGGCCUCGAGGCAGUCCUAGGAACGCAGCUCUGUAAAGGUGGCACAGUCAUGAAUUCUUGCUGGCGAAUAACCUCUUGACUUUGACCUUUAACUUUGUACCAAAAUAUAAACCAAUUUGUAAAUGUGAACACCAUGUAGCAUUUUAAUUGUCACUUUACUCUCAUUUGUCUUUGCGAUUCUACAUGAUCUUCGCAUGCUUUUACUGUAUGUAUCAAUACAUACAAAUUGUAAUACUAUAUUAUUUUUAAAAAGAGUAACCAUGGAGUUUCUUGCCCGUUCUUCUCCAUAGGAAGCUACUUUUGGAAUGGGCAACUAGAAUCAAACUUAGUUAUAAUUUUGACGUCCAUAAGUGCUUGUAAAGGCCUAAAUGAAAUAAAUGAUUUGACUUUGACUUUGAGAAGUUUGAGGACAAACUUAGUGGUCAGAAUGGCCGAAUGUUAGACUAAUAUUAUCCUGUGUUGUUCUGUAUGUUAUAUUCUCUUUUCAUACAUUAAGGAACUAUAUUAUAUUUACCGAAGUAUACUAAAUCAUUUUAGUUUUAUACGGACAACACUACCUCUACUGUGAGGACAACACUAAAAAGAGAUUUUGACAGUUUAGAGCGCGCGCUUCCCAUGCGCUUCCUUCGUGGACUGAUAAACUAUGUUUUCUUACGAUUGAUAUUAAAUUGUGUUUUAAAAGUGAAUACAAGAAGUUAUUGUGAUA
rnacentral:lncRNA from 1 species